rnacentral:misc_RNA from 1 species
GAUGAAGAACGUAGCGAAAUGCGAUAAGUAAUGUGAAUUGCAGAAUUCAGUGAAUCAUCGAAUCUUUGAACGCACCUUGCGCCCUUUGGCCAUUCCGAAGGGCAUGCCUGUUUGAGUAUCAUGAACACCUCAACUCUUCAUGGUUUUCCGUGAUGAGCUUGGACUUUGGGGGUCUUGCUGGCCUAUGGUCAGCUCCUCUAAAAUAAAUCAGCUUGCCAGUGUUUGGUGGGUAUCACAGGUGUGAUAACUAUCUACGCUUGUGGUUUUCCACCAGGUAACCUUCAGCAGUGGUGGUUCGCUGGAGCUCACAGAUGUGUCUCUCCUCAGUGAGGACAGCUCUUUGAAUGUUUGAUCUCAAAUCAGGUAGGACUACCCGCUGAACUUAAGCAUAUCAAUAAGCGGAGGA